rnacentral:rRNA from 1 species
UACGUAGGGGGCGAGCGUUGUCCGGAAUCACUGGGCGUAAAGGGAGCGUAGGCGGCUUUGUAAGUCAGAUGUUAAAUCCAUUGGCUCAACCAAUGUAAGCAUUUGAAACUACAGGGCUUGAGUACAGGAGAGGAGAGUGGAAUUCCUAGUGGAGCGGUGAAAUGCGUAGAUAUUAGGAGGAACACCAGUGGCGAAGGCGACUCUCUGGACUGUUACUGACGCUGAGGCUCGAAAGCGUGGGGAGCAAACAGG